UUAAAGAAAUAGCUAUCUUGGGGGAUGGGGAAGUGGAAAUAGUUGGCUGCAUAUAAGGAAACUUAUUGGUGAACUCAUAAUUGUUUAAUAUGAUGGAAUUAAAUUUAACCUCAGGCAGAUAUUAAAAAUACUUGAUUAAAAUAAAUCAAAUUUCUGGGAAAUAGGAGUGUGUUGGGGAAGGAGGACAAGGUAAGUAAGGUUUGACUGGAUGGGGGUGAUAGAAUAUAAAUUAAAACAGCUGUGUAUAACUUUGCCCUAAAAGGCAGGGGGAUGGAAGGUAUAAAAAGCAGAGAAGAAAAGAAAGAUUACUAGAAGCUAUUUUAGGAAAGAAGAUUAUUUUAUAGUAGAAAGUUGUUUUAGAAAGACUAUUUUAGCAGAAAACGGGUUUUAUGCAAAAAAGAAGAGAGAUUUAAAUAGAGGCUGAUUGCCUCAAGAACUGGACUAGGUAAUUGAGGCCCUGUGGCUUUCAAUAAUUUAAAAUCUGAGAUGCUUGAAACUAGGGAGAAGGAUUGAUUGGAGACAGUAUAUAUGUUUGCUUUGGGGGACCCAAGCUUUUUGUUUGUGUUUUCCUCCACUUGCAUUUAUCAUGCUAUACAAGAAAAAUUGGAUCAAAAGGGGAAAAAAGAGAAAAAAAGAAGCAAACAAACAACAAUAAAAGCAGGUUCCUAGAAGAUUUAGAAUGGCCAUGAAAUCAUGUUUUCAAAGUCUAUCAGAUUGGCACUAUCCAUCAAUAAAAAUUCAUCAGUAAGAAUCAUUAAAAGGUUGCCUCAAACAUGUCUUCCUUCUAAGAAGUGUUAUGCAUAACUUCCCAAGCAUAUUUCAGCCUUGAAUCACCUCUUUUAGAGUCUCCUUUUCUAUCCUAACUUUUGUGUUGGGGUACCUGUGUAUCUUCUCACCAAUCCUCCCUGAAAUUAAAAAUACAAAUCAGAAACAUCAGAAAAUGAAUAAAACUGAGUUUCCCAACAA